rnacentral:rRNA from 1 species
GAUGAACGCUGGCGGCGUGCCUAAUACAUGCAGGUCGAGCGAACAGACGAGGAGCUUGCUCCUCUGACGUUAGCGGCGGACGGGUGAGUAACACGUGGAUAACCUACCUAUAAGACUGGGAUAACUUCGGGAAACCGGAGCUAAUACCGGAUAAUAUAUUGAACCGCAUGGUUCAAUAGUGAAAGACGGUUUUGCUGUCACUUAUAGAUGGAUCCGCGCCGCAUUAGCUAGUUGGUAAGGUAACGGCUUACCAAGGCAACGAUGCGUAGCCGACCUGAGAGGGUGAUCGGCCACACUGGAACUGAGACACGGUCCAGACUCCUACGGGAGGCAGCAGUAGGGAAUCUUCCGCAAUGGGCGAAAGCCUGACGGAGCAACGCCGCGUGAGUGAUGAAGGUCUUCGGAUCGUAAAACUCUGUUAUUAGGGAAGAACAAAUGUGUAAGUAACUAUGCACGUCUUGACGGUACCGAAUCAGAAAGCCACGGCUAACUACGU